UUAAUGAUAGGUGGAUGAUGGGCAAAGAACUGCAAAAUACUUUUCUGCAGUCCUUUGCCCAUCAUCCAAAACUCUCGUGGA
ensembl:miRNA aca-mir-5466 aca-mir-5466